AGCAGCCAUCAUUUAAAGAAAGCGUAAUAGCUCACUGGUCGAGUCGGCCUGCGCGGAAGAUGUAACGGGGCUAAACCAUGCACCGAAGCUGCGGCAGCGACACUGUGUGUUGUUGGGUAGGGGAGCGUUCUGUAAGCCUGUGAAGGUGUGCUGUGAGGCAUGCUGGAGGUAUCAGAAGUGCGAAUGCUGACAUAAGUAACGAUAAAGCGGGUGAAAAGCCCGCUCGCCGGAAGACCAAGGGUUCCUGUCCAACGUUAAUCGGGGCAGGGUGAGUCGACCCCUAAGGCGAGGCCGAAAGGCGUAGUCGAUGGGAAACAGGUUAAUAUUCCUGUACUUGGUGUUACUGCGAAGGGGGGACGGAGAAGGCUAUGUUGGCCGGGCGACGGUUGUCCCGGUUUAAGCGUGUAGGCUGGUUUUCCAGGCAAAUCCGGAAAAUCAAGGCUGAGGCGUGAUGACGAGGCACUACGGUGCUGAAGCAACAAAUGCCCUGCUUCCAGGAAAAGCCUCUAAGCAUCAGGUAACAUCAAAUCGUACCCCAAACCGACACAGGUGGUCAGGUAGAGAAUACCAAGGCGCUUGAGAGAACUCGGGUGAAGGAACUAGGCAAAAUGGUGCCGUAACUUCGGGAGAAGGCACGCUGAUAUGUAGGUGAAGUCCCUCGCGGAUGGAGCUGAAAUCAGUCGAAGAUACCAGCUGGCUGCAACUGUUUAUUAAAAACACAGCACUGUGCAAACACGAAAGUGGACGUAUACGGUGUGACGCCUGCCCGGUGCCGGAAGGUUAAUUGAUGGGGUCAGCGCAAGCGAAGCUCUUGAUCGAAGCCCCGGUAAACGGCGGCCGUAACUAUAACGGUCCUAAGGUAGCGAAAUUCCUUGUCGGGUAAGUUCCGACCUGCACGAAUGGCGUAAUGAUGGCCAGGCUGUCUCCACCCGAGACUCAGUGAAAUUGAACUCGCUGUGAAGAUGCAGUGUACCCGCGGCAAGACGGAAAGACCCCGUGAACCUUUACUAUAGCUUGACACUGAACAUUGAGCCUUGAUGUGUAGGAUAGGUGGGAGGCUUUGAAGUGUGGACGCCAGUCUGCAUGGAGCCGACCUUGAAAUACCACCCUUUAAUGUUUGAUGUUCUAACGUGGACCCGUGAUCCGGGUUGCGGACAGUGUCUGGUGGGUAGUUUGACUGGGGCGGUCUCCUCCUAAAGAGUAACGGAGGAGCACGAAGGUUGGCUAAUCCUGGUCGGACAUCAGGAGGUUAGUGCAAUGGCAUAAGCCAGCUUGACUGCGAGCGUGACGGCGCGAGCAGGUGCGAAAGCAGGUCAUAGUGAUCCGGUGGUUCUGAAUGGAAGGGCCAUCGCUCAACGGAUAAAAGGUACUCCGGGGAUAACAGGCUGAUACCGCCCAAGAGUUCAUAUCGACGGCGGUGUUUGGCACCUCGAUGUCGGCUCAUCACAUCCUGGGGCUGAAGUAGGUCCCAAGGGUAUGGCUGUUCGCCAUUUAAAGUGGUACGCGAGCUGGGUUUAGAACGUCGUGAGACAGUUCGGUCCCUAUCUGCCGUGGGCGCUGGAGAACUGAGGGGGGCUGCUCCUAGUACGAGAGGACCGGAGUGGACGCAUCACUGGUGUUCGGGUUGUCAUGCCAAUGGCACUGCCCGGUAGCUAAAUGCGGAAGAGAUAAGUGCUGAAAGCAUCUAAGCACGAAACUUGCCCCGAGAUGAGUUCUCCCUGACCCUUUAAGGGUCCUGAAGGAACGUUGAAGACGACGACGUUGAUAGGCCGGGUGUGUAAGCGCAGCGAUGCGUUGAGCUAACCGGUACUAAUGAACCGUGAGGCUUAACCUUACAACGCCGAAGGUGUUU
rnacentral:rRNA from 1 species